ACGAACGCUGGCGGCGUGCUUAACACAUGCAAGUCGAACGGAAAGGCCCUGCUUUUGUGGGGUGCUCGAGUGGCGAACGGGUGAGUAACACGUGAGUAACCUGCCCUUGACUUUGGGAUAACUUCAGGAAACUGGGGCUAAUACCGGAUAGGAGCUCCUGCUGCAUGGUGGGGGUUGGAAAGUCUCGGCGGUUGGGGAUGGACUCGCGGCUUAUCAGCUUGUUGGUGGGGUAGUGGCUUACCAAGGCUUUGACGGGUAGCCGGCCUGAGAGGGUGACCGGCCACAUUGGGACUGAGAUACGGCCCAGACUCCUACGGGAGGCAGCAGUGGGGAAUAUUGCACAAUGGGCGGAAGCCUGAUGCAGCAACGCCGCGUGCGGGAUGACGGCCUUCGGGUUGUAAACCGCUUUCGCCUGUGACGAAGCGUGAGUGACGGUAAUGGGUAAAGAAGCACCGGCUAACUACGUG
rnacentral:rRNA from 1 species